AACAAAAAAAUAAGACAAAAAUGUAAAGAUUAGUUGGAAAUCCGAAAAAUAAAUCAACUUUAUUUUUCUAUUAGACUCUAAUUCUACUCAUCAUUUAGGGGCUGUAUAUAAUCAGAUCUAGACUGAAUGCCUUCUAGUGUGUUUUUUUGCUUGUUUUUGUUUUACUCAGUUCACGCUGGCUCUAGCUCCAGAUCUAAUUUAAAUCUUAGAAAUCCGAUCUAUACUGACUAUUCACUAUACUCUUAGGACUCUUAGGUUACUCUAGUCUAGUUCUAGAUAUAUUGAAUCAAGAUAAUUUAACUUUGAACUUUGAGAUCUAAUAUAUAGGCCUACAAUGGAUGGAUACACUUUCAGAACACCGACAGGAAAAGGCAUCCAUGAAUACGUUGACUAUGAACAGUAUCUCUCUUCAUUGGUGACCACAGCUGAUAAGUUUUACACAGAAGAUGUAGCAAUCGCACAAAAACUCAUAGAACUGGGUUUCAAGGGACCAAUAGAUGGGUUUACAGAAGAAGAAUUCAAUCAAAUGAAACAAAUGUAUGAGAAAAAGAAGCGUGUUAUGCCGGCCCUUCUACAAACCAAACUACUUCUGAGCGGUGGAAGAACUUAUGAAGAUGGUCUGUUGAGGGCGUUACAGAUGCGAGAAGAAGGCAACAGAAGUGGCAAAAACUGGUCAAUAUUCUUUCUUCGGAUGUACAACUCGAAAGGCCAGGAAGUGUCGGCCUAUAUUGACUAUGCACAUCGAUUAUCUACUGAGGAUUUCGGGCCGAUAUUUGAUCUGGACAAGCCAUUUUUGCCUCACAAAUCUGAUCUAAGCUUUUUAAACUGGGAGACUUCCGACGCCGUCUGGAACGACUCGCCAAAUUAUCAGGUGCUAUGCCUCAGUUUACAUGGGAUAGUAUUUCGGAACAAACGAGAUAAUAAGAUUGUCAACCCAGAUCCUUUUGGUGCUCCCGGAGAUAACUCCAGCCGGACAAAUAUAUCAACCACAAUGUACCUUAGUGCUUUUGUGAUAGAUCACUACAACAGGCUAUAGAAAAGAGAAUACACAUAUCUAGCCAGUCUCAGAUCAAUGUAUACUUAUUGGUACCCAUUGGAGUUAGUUGGACUCAGAGGCGCCAUAAGGAUCCCGAAAUAAAAAAAAACAGUCUUCACCAGGAUUUCAACUCGGGACCCCCAGUUCUUAAGCCAAGCUUUUCUACUCAGCCACUGCACCUCCUCCACAACUUUACCUGUGAAUUCAAUGAGAUUAUUUGGAAGUAUAAAGACACGCAGCUAAUCUCUAUAUGAUGGUCUGAAGAAGAAAGCUCGCAGGAAUUUGUUUAAAUGGAAAUAAUGGAACUAUGCAUACUGUUCACAAGUUAUUCUUAUUUCUAAUGUACGAUAAGAUGUGACAGAUGAUAUUGUCAUAAUAGAUUUAAUGUAGACUGAUAUAUAACAAACUUAGCCUGAUUACAUUUACAGGUAAACAAUAAUCUACAUACAGUGGCGUAGCUAAGGAUUUGGGGGCCCGGGGGGUGCUUGACCUCAUUAGGGCCAUCUGUAUUUUGACAUUGGACAUCAUGACAUGAGAUAAUGGCGUAAUAUUUAAUGUAAAACAAAUUUUGGACACUCAUUUGUAGGACCCCUCAAGUGGAGGCCCCGGGGGGGAUUUUCAAAUUUGGACCCCCCCCCCUCCCCCACCCUAGCUACGCCA